rnacentral:hammerhead_ribozyme from 1 species
AUCCAGUUGACGAGUCCCAAAUAGGACGAAACGCGCGUCCUGAU